CUGCAGAUGACACCUCCCUCUGGGAAGCUGCGCCUCAGCACACUGACGGGUCUGAGAGGUGUUGCGGAAGAGUCGUCCCUGUCUUUCCACUAGGAAUUCUAGGCCGGAUUUGACCUGAUGUUAGGGGGUGAAGAAAGUGGGAGCAAAUUCAACAACCACAUUUUUUCGGGCACUGGUUAUCCGAUCAGCAUCCUGCCAGAGAUGCUGGGAACACAAUGGAGCUUUGCGAUGUCAUCUAGUUAAGAUGAAGUCAUAACGGAGUAGGAUGGGCCCCAAUCCAAUGUGAUUGACGUCUCUGCAAGAAGGCCACGUGAAAACAGAGACGCACAGGUUGGGGGAGGCCGCGUGAAGAUGGAGCAGGGACGGGAGUGAAGCAGCUGCAGGCAGUGAAUAGCAGACGCUAGGAGGGGCGAGGAAGGAUCCGCCUGGAGCCCCAGCGGAAGCCUGGCCCUGCCGGUACCUGGACUUGGAGGUCGGGCCUCGGGAACUAUGAGAGGGUGCAUUUCUGUUGGGUAAAGCCACCCAAUUUAUGGGACUUCAUGGCUGAGGCAGACGGCAGUAAACGAACGCCCUGCAACCCUCCGUCUUCUGCAGCCCCCACACCCGGGCCCACGGCUCCCCACCCCACAGCUCCUUAGCGCGGCUGCUCGGUGGAGCCUGUGCCUGUCCGUGUAAGCCCUCAGCCCCUUUCUCCACACCUCUCCCCGGCGCCCAGCCAUUGUGCAACCUUCUUGGCACCGGCCGCUCGAGACUCACCCCCGGGCUGGGCAGCCCAUUCCCUGUCACUCAUUCUGUGUUUUGAUCCUGCCUCAUUCUAUCUUCUUCUUGCUCACUUUUUACACUAAAAACUUUUACAUUAGCUGACUGUAAUCUAUGUUUCCUUAUAAUUUACCCUAAA
rnacentral:lncRNA from 1 species